rnacentral:rRNA from 1 species
AAUGACUGUAGGUGAAAGACUUACAUCUCUUCGGAGCAUUUUACGAGGUGCUGCAUGGUUGUCGUCAGCUCGUGCCGUGAGGUGUCGGGGUUAAGUCCCAUAACGAGCGCAACCCCUACCUUAGUUGCCAUCAGGUUAAGCUGGGGACUCUAAAGGAACUGCCUACGCAAGUAGUGAGGAAGGCGGGGAUGACGUCAAAUCAGCACGGCCCUUACGUCCAGGGCUACACACGUGCUACAAUGGCCGAUACAGAGGGCAGCUACCUGGUGACAGGAUGCAAAUCUCCAAAGUCGGUCUCAGUUCGGAUCGGAGUCUGCAACCCGACUCCGUGAAGUUGGAUUCGCUAGUAAUCGCGCAUCAGCCAUGGCGCGGUGAAUACGUUCCCGGGCCUU